AUUCAGCUGUUCUCUAACGCCCUCCAUUUCUCAAGGAGUGCGCGGUCUGUUUCCUCCGCCAGCAGCAAGUGCGAACAGCCCCCACAGGCUCUGCUAAAGAGCCCGCCGCAUUUUCACAGGCGGAACGGUCACGGGGGAGUCCUGCAGCGCCCCUUCUCCCACUCCGCAGAGCCAACGUCAGGCGCUGUCUGGGAGCCACCCAACUAGGAGAGUCCUCACGGCGCUGAAAAGCUGUCCUCCACACUGGAGCCCUGUCUGUGGGUUGCUGAUUUCACCUGUGAUUUCACUUCUGCUGAGUCACCUUGCUGCUUCUGGC
rnacentral:lncRNA from 1 species